rnacentral:tRNA from 1 species
GCGCCUGUAGCUCAACUGGAGAGAGCACCUGCCUUCUAAGCAGGGGGUUGCCUGUUCGAUUCAGGCCAGGCGCG